rnacentral:snRNA from 1 species
AACGCUUCUCAGCCUUUUGGCUAAGAUCAAGUGUAGCGUCUCUUCUUAGUUUAAUAUCUGAUAUGUCCUCUAGUCCUCUAUUCCAAAACACACUUGUGGUUUCAAAAGGAAUAUUU